GUCUAUGUAUACCUGUAAUCCCUGCUACUGGGGGAGACUGAGGAUGGUAGAUCACUUGAGCUAAGAAGUUCUGGGCUGCACUAGGGUAAGGCAUUAGGGUAUCUGCACUGAGUCAGGCACCAAUAUGGUGAGCCCCUGGAAGUGAAAACAACACUAGGUUGCCUAAGGAGAAGCGAAUCAGCUCAUGCUGAAAACACAGCCAGUCAAAGCUGCCAUGUCAAACAAGAGUGGGAAUAGGCCUGUGAGAGGCUAUUGUACUUCCAGCCUGGGCAAGUUAGGGAGACCCACUCUCCA
rnacentral:SRP_RNA from 1 species